AGUGAACGCUGGCGGUAGGCCUAACACAUGCAAGUCGAACGGCAGCACAGGAGAGCUUGCUCUCUGGGUGGCGAGUGGCGGACGGGUGAGGAAUACAUCGGAAUCUACUCUGUCGUGGGGGAUAACGUAGGGAAACUUACGCUAAUACCGCAUACGACCUACGGGUGAAAGCAGGGGACCUUCGGGCCUUGCGCGAUUGAAUGAGCCGAUGUCGGAUUAGCUAGUUGGCGGGGUAAAGGCCCACCAAGGCGACGAUCCGUAGCUGGUCUGAGAGGAGAAUCAGCCACACUGGAACUGAGACACGGUCCAGACUCCUACGGGAGGAAGCAGUGGGGAAUAUUGGACAAUGGGCGCAAGCCUGAUCCAGCCAUACCGCGUGGGUGAAGAAGGCCUUCGGGUUGUAAAGCCCUUUUGUUGGGAAAGAAAUCCAGCUGGCUAAUACCCGGUUGGGAUGACGGUACCCAAAGAAUAAGCACCGGCUAACUUCGUGCCAGCAGCCGCCGCCG
rnacentral:rRNA from 1 species